GGUAGUAGCAAAUCCUCAAGUGAGAACCUUGAGGACUGAAGUGGAGAAGGGUCCCAUGUGAACAGCAGUUGAACAUGGGUCUCUCGCGCGGCGUAGACCCUCGAUGCAUUGCUGCAGCGGUGACGUAGUCAAACUGGUU
rnacentral:rRNA from 1 species